UAAGGAAUAUUGGUCAAUGGACGCAAGUCUGAACCAGCCAUGCCGCGUGAAGGAUGAAGGUCCUCUGGAUUGUAAACUUCUUUUAUGGGGGAAGAAACCUCUUGAUUCUUCGAGAGUUGACGGUACCCUAGGAAUAAGCACCGGCUAACUCCGUGCCAGCAGCCGCGGUAAUACGGAGGGUGCAAGCGUUAUCCGGAUUCACUGGGUUUAAAGGGUGCGUAGGAGGGCAGGUAAGUCAGUGGUGAAAUCUCCGGGCUUAACUCGGAAACUGCCGUUGAUACUAUCUGUCUUGAAUAUUGUGGAGGUGAGCGGAAUAUGUCAUGUAGCGGUGAAAUGCUUAGAUAUGACAUAGAACACCAAUUGCGAAGGCAGCUCGCUACACAUAUAUUGACUCUGAGGCACGAAAGCGUGGGGAUCAAACA
rnacentral:rRNA from 1 species